CUAGACGCCCGGCCCAAAAGACCCUGUAGACUCCUAUUGGUCAAAACUUACUCUAUGGUUUUGUGACAACAAAACAAGUUGACCCAUGUGCUUUUCGUUUCGCCUUUCCUUUUUCCUUAAAUUUCCUUAAAAAAGUCAUCGUGAGGAAGCAUGUGAAUUAAUUUGUCUUCAUUCGAACGAUUUUAUUAUAAUUUAUUAUAAUAAAAUCCAGUUUUUCCUCUUACUUUGCCUGCCUUUUACUGAUUUUGAUUUUCUUUUGAUGGACCAAUAUUUCAAGUCGUUGAUACAGGAUACAUGCAGCCCAAGUUGUCUCUAAAACAAACCUUUUCUUUUUGUGUAGUACUGUUGAGGAAAGUUACGUAAUUUUUUCAUCUGCAAUUUAAGUCAUCCUUGUAAGAAUGCCUGAAUUUGAACGGUCAAACGAAGAAACGUCAAAAUCAAAGCGGCGAAAAUCUUCAAGUUUCAUAGACAAUAGCGAUGAUGAAGCAGCCGAUGAAUACGUGAAGGCCAAACGAAGAAAAAGAGACAAUCUUCCUGCAGCAAAGGAGGAGAAACGGAAGUCAAAAGGAUUUAAAAAGUCAAAAACUUACAAAGCAGACAUUGUAACUGAUGUAAAAAUAGUUACCAAAGAUGAUUGCUCAUUGUUGAAUUAUGAGGCUGUGUCAGCGGAUUUAGUUGUACUUGGGUGUGUGUCUGAAAUAACCCCAACUGGAGUUACAAUAUCAUUACCAGGAUCAAUAUUUGCUGUUGCUCCGAAGAGUUUUAUUACUCCUUACCGAGACAUCAAUUUGCGAGACAUUCUUAGUGAGCGCCAGCUUGUUGUAUGCAAGGUCAUCUCAAAAAGAGCAUCUCUUGAUAACACGUGGAGAGUUCUAGUUUCUCUUGAUCCGGCCAACGUCAAUUCCCACAUACCUCACUACGCUGUUGAUGUGGGUAUGUCAUUAAUGGGAGUCGUUCAAAGUGUGAAGACCAUGGUUAUGUGAUUGACAGUGGGAUAGCGA
rnacentral:lncRNA from 1 species